GAUGAACGCUGGCGGCGUGCCUAAUACAUGCCAGUCGAGCGAACGGACGAGAAGCUUGCUUCUCUGAUGUUAGCGGCGGACGGGUGAGUAACACGUGGAUAACCUACCUCUAAGACUGGGAUAACUUCGGGAAACCGGAGCUAAUACCGGAUGAUAUUUUGAACCGCAUGGUUCAAAAGUGAAAGACGGUCUUGCUGUCACUUAUAGAUGGAUCCGCGCUGCAUUAGCUAGUUGGUAAGGUAACGGCUUACCAAGGCAACGAUGCAUAGCCGACCUGAGAGGGGGAUCGGCCACACUGGAACGGAGAAACGGUCCAGACUCCUACGGGAGGCAGCAGUAGGGAAUCUUCCGCAAUGGGCGAAAGCCUGACGGAGCAACGCCGCGUGAGUGAUGAAGGUCUUCGGAUCGUAAAACUCUGUUAUUAGGGAAGAACAUAUGUGUAAGUAACUGUGCACAUCUUGACGGUACCUAAUCAGAAAGCCACGGCUAACUACGUG
rnacentral:rRNA from 1 species